rnacentral:rRNA from 1 species
GGAGUUUGGACCGUGUCUCAGUUCCAAUGUGGGGGACCUUCCUCUCAGAACCCCUACUGAUCGUAGGCCAGGUGGGCCGUUACCCCGCCUGCAACCUAAUCAGACGCAUCCCCAUCCCUUAGCGAUAAAUCUUUGGUUCACUUCAGAUGUCCUCGACGAACAACAUAGGGUAUUAAUCCGACUUUCGCCGGGCUAUCCUCUAGUAAGGGGAAGGUUGGAUACGCGUUACUCACCCGUGCGCCGGUCGCCAUCAAAGGAAGCAAGCUUCCUUCAUGCUGCCCCACGACUUGCAUGUGUUAAGCCUGUAGCUAGCGUUCAUC